rfam:Picea glauca, whole genome shotgun sequence.
GUAUGUACAUUCCUAUAUUGUUAAUGCACUGGAUCACAUUAUAACUCCAUAUUUAAGUGUGCUUGGAAUAUAGUGGUAUUGGGAUGGGUGACCUCCUAGGAAGUAAUGGUGUUUUACAUGCC